rnacentral:tRNA from 1 species
GGAGGGAUCGCAUAGUUGGUCUAGUGCGGCCGCCUGCUAAGCGGUUACCCUGGGAAACUGGGGUCGUGGGUUCGAAUCCCACUCCCUCCGCCA